rnacentral:misc_RNA from 1 species
CAGCCCUCAUUCGUCUGCAAUGUCGCGGCGACCUGUUGCAGCUUUUCCAGCGCAAGCCGAUCCAGCAGCGCCGCAUCCUCGAAAUAGCCGCCGCGAUCCUCGGUAAAGAGAUCACGCAGGACUGUGCCACCUGCCUCAAUGUAGGCCUCAUGACCGACGAAGACCGCGCGACGGUCGGUGGCCGCGACGUUGGUUUCGGUCAACAUUCGGCGAAUCGUGACGGGAUCGCGGCUGUAGGACAGCCGGCUAUAGAUUUCCUCCUGCCUGUCAUGAUCGUCGAUCAGGGCGAAUGCCACCAAUUGCUCGAAGCCCAUUUCGCCGUUCCGGUACGCCUCGAUCAGGCGCGGCGACACGGCACUGAGCCGCA